rnacentral:sRNA from 1 species
AUGUACCCCUCGUAUGCAUCGGUUCCGAGUGCGCCGCCCGCACCCACCUGACCGCUGCUCGCUACGUGGUGCCAGCC